UCCCUCAUUCAACUCCUAAACCCUAAUCUCCAACCUCACCACUCGCCAGGCUGUAGCCGCCGACAAUCCAACUCUCUCCAUCUCCUUGCCCUAUCCAGUCUCCACCCCUCACCCCCUCGUCGUUGUCGCUGAGCUCGAGGCCGCUGACGCUGAGAUCCCCAACAAAUAGAGGUGAAUCCCUGUCCAGCUCGAGGCCGUCGCUCGCCGUCGUCGUCGUCGUCGUCGCUGAGCUCGAGGCCGCUGACGCUGAUGUCCCCAACAAAUAGAGGUGAAUCCAUGUCCAGCUCGAGGCCGUCGCUCGUCGUUGUCGUCGCUGAGCUCGAGGCCGCUGACGCUGAGAUAUCGUCGCGUCUCAUGAUUCGAGCAGCUUUUGACCCCUGAAUCCUCAGGUAUGAACUUCUCCAGAUGUCGGCGAAGGCAAGAUCAAGAAGGCUCUUAGAGGCGUAAAAGUUGAAGACACUCAUAGAGGAAGCGUACAAAGGAAAUAUCGAGUUUCAGGACUGACAUCUCUUCCUACAAGAGAGCUGAUUUUCCCAGUUGAUGAACAAAACAACAUGAAAUCUGUGGUUGAAUACUUCAAAGAAAUGUAUGGCUUUACAAUUUAAUAACCUCACCUGCCUUGCCUUCAAGUAGGAAAUCAGAAGAAGGCAAAUUAUCUACUAAUGGAGGCAUGUAAAAUAGUUGAAGGGCAGAGAUGCACAAAGAGAUUGAAUGAAAAGCAAAUUACUUCCCUGCUAAAAGUUAUCUGCCAGAGGCCCAGAGAAUAGGAGAUGAAUAUACUGCAUGUACAAACAAAAAAUAUCGAGAUUAUUCAAUUUCCUACAGGUUCCUCUUAAUGGUUUGGAGGUAGGAACCAGCAUUGAAGCUUACUACCCUUAUGUUUAAAAGUACAUUUCAUGACUUAAACUUUGAUUCUGUAAUUAAGUGCUAGAAUGAAUCUAACAAAUGUGAUUUUCUUUCUCAUGUAUGCGUACAUUUGUUAGUGUGUUGACUCAAUGGCAGCAGCAACAUAUCAAUCUAUAGCCUAAGUAAUCAACAAUAUUAUAACAAUAUUCAAUUCUCAACCCACAAAUCAAUGCAAACUCGGAAAGGUGAGAAACCUGCUGCUUCUUUCAUUUCCUUUUUUUUCUUUAACAUAUAAGUUUCACCUGCUCUUAACUUAAGUUUGAUUUAUUCUUUUUAGCUAAAGGGUGCUUUUGAGAUGUAGCAGAAUUGAUGAAGAAAGGCAAGUUCCCUAACAUAAUUCCUUCAUUUUUGAACAUUGUUUGCUAUAUACUGAAUGCUUUCUCGUUACCUUCCUAGGUUGUUAAGCAUUUUGAAUUCGUUUCUGUUAAAACCAGGGAUCUAUUCCUUUCACUUUUAAGGAGCUACAUGGGUCAAAGUCCAUAGCUAUUCUAUUGAAGGAUACUUAUUGUAAGAAGGAUCUGUGCUAAUUGAAAAGAAAUCAAAUAGAAGCUACUCUAAAACCAGCAACUUAACCAAGGGAGAAUUAAUUCCCUACAAAUUUAAAACUACGCCUGCUGCAAAGAACUCGCACCUAGGCUACCAACAUAAAAGAACAGCAAACAAGUGAUGCACAUACAUGUUAAGAUUGAGAGACCAAUGAUCGCCAGCAUAGUUACUGUGGCAUUAAGACUGAAAUGAGACCAAUGACCAAUAGUAAGUUGCCAACCAAAACAUCAGGUGAAAAGAAAUUCCUGAACAAAAUUGAAUGACUUAAAUUGUUUUUUUUUACCCAAGCCAUCUUCCAUUACCUCCAAACCCUAAGCUACCUGCUAGUCGAAUAUCAUCGGAGGAACAAGCAAUGCCACACACACUAAUUCACAGAAAACAGAGGUUAUACAUAAAUGCGAAGUUAUAUACACAGAUUGUAACUCAUCCUACAAUGAAGUAUCUUAUAUGUCUAACUUCUUCCUUGUGCAACAAGGUGUAAAAUUAAACUUCACAUUUGCAAAAUAAUGGAACACAUCUGUGGUGUGUACAUAUAUACGUUUGUUUCCUCAUUCAGAAAGUGAUAUAACUACAAUGACUAGAAUUUUUAAGGAAGGGACAAUGGUUA